rnacentral:rRNA from 1 species
AGCCUUAAGAAGUGAUUUAAGGUAAUACCUGCCCAAUGUUUUUAUUAAUGGCCGCGGUACUUUGACCGUGCUAAGGUAGCGCAAUCAAUUGGCUUUUAAUUGUAGCCAGGUAUGAAUGGAGUUACGGGGUUUGGCUGUCUCUUGAAUAAUUUAUUGAAGUUACUAUCCAGGUGAAAAAGCCUGGGAUUAAAAAAAGGACGAGAAGACCCUUAGAGUUUAACUUAUAUUGAAAUGGGGUUUCAAUUCAGUUUAGUUGGGGCAACUAAGGAUCAAAUACUAAUUAAACAUCCUGAUAUAUACGAGCCGACGUUUGUAAGAGUGGAUAAACUACCUUAGGGAUAACAGCAUAAUUUUACUAAUAAGUUUGUGACCUCGAUGUUGGACUAGGAAACCAUAAGGCUAGCCGCCUUUUGGGUUAGUUCUGUUCGAACUAUUAUUCCU